CGGGGGACUCGGUCGCCAUGUUGAGAGUGCUCGGACGACUCUGCGGAGCCGGGUAGAGGUUUUAGGGUGCGCGGCUGUCGACUGGUGGUGCAGCGGGGACGAUGAGGUGGACGGCGAGCUGAUCGAGAGCUUCGGCCAUGAAAGCGGGAGUCAGGGGGUGGAGGCUGCAGUAGGGACUGAUGUAGGGUAGGUCCGACUGGAGGCGGCAUCAAGAGGGCGAUCACGGUCCUGAAGGGAUUGCAUAGGGCCAUACGCCUCUUGCUCCCUUUUUCUAACUAAAGGAUUGGAGGAGUCGGUUUGCUUUCUUGGCUCGGAUUAUCAUUUAGACCGGCUAACAGGAUAGUCGGGACGUUUCAGACCCUCUCUGAAUUUUCAUACAGGAAUGAUUUGCACAGAGGUCCAGAGAAAUCGUUGUUGGAAAGUAACCAAGCUGGAAAGGGGACGUUGUUUUGGCCCUGAAAAGUAAGGAAAGACAAGAAGCGGCCCAAAAGAGUCAUACACCCGAUUUAAAACGACAUCUUUUCGCCUACCAGUGAAAGCAGGGAGAUAUCGAAAGGAGAUAUUAUUGAUGCUAGGCCUGCUGACUUCUGAGUCUGUCUACACUAUGGCAAGAUGGGAAAUUUCUUUUCUUCCAGAGGGUAUCUGAAGGGUUAAAAAUACUGAUACACUUUGUGAUGUUUUUCCCCUCUCCCUUUUGCACAUUAUUCUGGAAACAAAUUAACUAGUUACUUGGGUCAGUGUUAGGAGUUAAUAAAAUUACAGCUGAUAAAUGUAUCUUCAUAUCAAAGAAAGACUAGGCAGAGUGAGUAAAAAAUGACCAAAACAUGGUAGAAAUAGCCUUUCAGAUGUAUGCAUGUGAUAACUACAAAAACAGUUUUUUGAAGAAUGAUCUUAUAUGUCACGUUUCCAGGAGCAAGUCACAAGAUGAAUGGCCUUGUUCAUUUGUAAGCAAAGGUAAUAUGUGUUGGUGUCAUUUACCUAUGAACACAACAGUGAAAAAGAGUCAUACAAAUAUUUUGGUUAUGCAGAAACACUUUUGCAAAUAAGGGUGGUAAGUAUAGGAAAAGGAGUGACUGCACAGAUCAUACUUAAGUUUAAUUUCAGACUCUUAAAGUAUUUUAGGAGUUGGUGAUUGAAGGGGGUUCUCAACAUAUUAUAUAAACUUGUAAAUAUUGUUUAU